GAACGACUAAUAUUACAAAGAUUAAGGUAUUUCCCGAUUCUUGGAUGAAUACGAAACCGAUUAGCCAGGUUCUACUUGCACUUCCUGUUACAGAAAAAAAAUUCGAGUCAGCAAGAGCUCCUUUCUAUGGUUUGUUCUAGACUUUCCUUUUGGCUGAUUGUGAUAUACUUCUUUGAAACAAUGAUUCUACGUAACGCAGUCAGGUGAAUCGACUGGUCCUUUUUAUGCUUAGUGACAUCUAUAUGAAGGUUUACUAAAUUUUGAGAAACAGUUGUCAGGACACAAGACUGAAAGAAAGACGUACUGAAAAACUGCCUGUAAACACAACAAUCAUUAAAGUCAAUGGAUUACCCAGGAACAUCCAAGCAAUAUGAUAUCAGAGACUGGCAAUUUGUAUCACUUGAUGUGGCAGAAAAACCUAAAUAAAUAUUGAAAUGUUCAAUUUCUUUGUUCAUUGCUUUUCUCUUGUGUAUAUGAAUAUCGCAUAAUAUUUAUGAGAAUUUCGCACAAUUUUUACAUGAAAAACUGUUAAUUUGGAAUUCGCAUGAAUAUCAUGCGAAAUUUUAGUCACAUGAAAAUCGCAUGAAUUUCGCAUAAAUAUUAUAUGAGGACAUUCGCAUGAAAUUCGCAUGUGGAACUUUUCGCAUGGUUUUUAUAUGAUUUUCGCACGAAAUUCAUGCGAAAAGGCAAUCGCAUGAAAAUCAUGCGAGCCACUUUUCCCUGUGUACUGCCA